UAUGCCAAAAAACCAAAUCAGAUUCAUUCUCUCCUUUCUCGCUGGUGCUUUCUCGAUGUUAAAGCAAGAGGAGCUUUCAUUGAAGCUUAGUCUCAGAUGCUCUUAGCUCUACUCCUCAUCUUCGAGCUCUACUCCUCUUUCGCCACGUCGUCGUCGUCGUUGUCGUCAUCAUCGUCAUCGUUGUCAUUUG